rnacentral:rRNA from 1 species
CUACGGGUGGCUGCAGUGAGGAAUUUUGCGCAAUGGGGGAAACCCUGACGCAGCAACGCCGCGUGAGCGAAGAAGGCCCUCGGGUCGUAAAGCUCUGUCAAGUGGGAAAAAAAUCUUUUGGUCAAUAGUCAAAAGACUUGAUGGUACCACUGGAGGAAGCACCGGCUAACUCCGUGCCAGCAGCCGCGGUAAUACGGAGAGUGCAAGCGUUGUUCGGAUUUACUGGGCGUAAAGAGCGUGUAGGCGGUUUAGCAAGUCAGAUGUGAAAGCCCUGGGCUCAACCCGGGAAGUGCAUUUGAAACUGCUUCACUAGAUUAUGGGAGAGGAGAUUGGAAUUCCUGGUGUAGAGGUGAAAUUCGUAGAUAUCAGGAGGAACACCCGUGGCGAAGGCGAUUCUCUGGACCAAUACUGACGCUGAGACGCGAAAGCGUGGGGAGCAAACAGGAUUAGAUACCCUUGUAGUC